ACAAUACAAAGAAGCGAAACGUGUAUCUAUAUAUGGAAAUUUAAU
rnacentral:guide_RNA from 1 species